ensembl:lncRNA
CCAACUCCAGGUGUCUUCAGAAAAACGGGGCAGGCUGAAUCUCCUUUGGCUCAGAGCAGGGCAGAGAUCUGGUGUUAAGGAAAGGACCGAGGGCUGCACCAUCUUCCCACUAAAGCCAGUGGCAAAGCAGGCAGCAGCACCUCCAUCUCCCCUGAACUGAAGCGCAGGAUUCAUCCCUGCUUCCCUCUCCCUAACUCCUCUUGCAGGAGUAAUUUUGAGGUAACACAAUGCCAAGCACCACAGGGCUCACUUCUACAACAUCAGGCUGAGCACUACAAACUCCCAUUCUACAUUUGAAGUGUUACUGCAUUACUUGACUUCAUACUUUCUAUAAAUGUCCCGUUGUGGUAUGUCUUCGCUACGUAUAAAAGCACAGGUAGGUAUUAUGGGCUGUAUCACUUCGUUUUGUCUCAUUCAUCAGCUACUUUAAAAUAUUUUCUUCGCAGUGCAGUAGAAAAGAAAGCAAACGGUUUUGUUGUUGGUUUUUUUUUUAAUCAUUUCCCAAGUUAGAUUUAUAUGCCAUAAUGACUGUUGUAUUCCACGUGCAGAACGGCAAAACAGGCUUACAUACCUGACCUCACUUCUUCGGUGAACUGCCUCAUUUGUGAAAUGGCACAUAGAAAUCUGGAAUCUCAAACGAAUCACUUGUUUUUUCUUGCCGUGAAACCUUACUUAAGUUCACAGCAAUUUUAAAUAUGAGACGUUUAAAAUAUUAAUACUUCCCAUAUAUUAUUCACCCACUUUCAGGUUUCAUCUCAAGUUAGAGGCACUUCGUAUUUCAAAGGCAGAACUGCUUCUCUCUCUCUUUUUUUUUUUUUCAGCACUAAUGUUCUAUUAAUUCACUUUGUAAUAUCACUCCAGUUCAUACAAAUAAAAUUGCACUAAAUUGCUGAUGCCAAGAAUCAUGCUGAAGUUGUUGGCGUUAUAAAAAAUUCCACUCUCCAUUAUUAUUUUAUAAGAUUUUCUGUAAUCUCUGCAUCGUCUUUUUAGGUAUGAUUCAAAGCCCUGCGUAGUGAGUGCCACGAGGACAAAUAUGCACGCACGAUUAUCUCCGUGCUGAGAGAUGGGGCUGAAUGUAGGUAUGUAUAUACAGUGAAGUCUGUGACUUCAGUGACUUCUGUAAGGAGGUGAAGGCAAGCUCCCAGCGAACUAACAGCCUCCACAGAUGAUCCUUUAUGAACGUUUUGCAUUUGGUGUACUUUCCCUUAAGGCAGCGUGAUGUAUCCCAUCACACACGUGUAUACGUGUGUGUGUGUGUGCAGAGACACUGGGAAUGUCUUAUGUGCAUAUUACACAACAUAUGCCAUUCGUGUAAUCACUUUAGAUAUAUAAAUAAAAUUCGUUUUAUAUACAUAAAUAAAAUAUGUGAAGGUAUUCCUUAAAGGAGCCAUAAAGGCCCACGUGUAGGUGGAUUCUUCAUCACAUCCAAAGAACUGAAAGACCGGGGAUAUAAAGCGGAAUCUUUUUAUAUGAGCGUGUAUCUCUUAUAAUCUCUCCAUAAAAUCCACAUGGCUGCAUAACCACUUCCAGAGAUGCGGAUGGAAGUUAUACCUGGACAGCCCGAAAGCCUUUAAUAAGUAAAGCAGCAUAUAAUCCUAUGAAAUGCCUUUCAGGAGUGAAAUAAUUACAAAGCGCUGGAGCAAGAGCAGCAAACAGCAGGAAAAUCACCUGUGAAUAGAUGUGAGAAACUGGAAGUGUACUCCAGUGUUUGUGUGGUCAUCAAAAUCAAACGUUCAGGAGCUGGAAAUCCAACUGCCGGGAGGGCAGACUGAUACAUUUAUAGGCACGUAUAGCCCGUGCCUUAAACUUUGAGUCUGCAACGUUGUUAGUGAGGUAUCCUCCUUUAUAAUGCUUGGCAUUUGUUCCCUUGGCAUUUAAAGAAGAUGGGCUGUUUUAAUUACAAUUUGAGCGAAUUCUUUAAAAGAAAAAAAAACCAAACUGCAAAAUGACUGAUGCAAAUCCCGGCCACUCGUGAGCACAAUGAAAUUCUACUGAGCAGAGAGGACACCGGGAGAGGCUCCCGAUCAGCUGCAGCAGAGAAUGCCCUGCGCUACGCAGCCCUCAGACGCCGGGAUUCUGAAAUACGAAUUAGACCUCAAAUGCAAAUCAACCUCCGAAGGGGGAGAAGGAAAAAAAAAAUAAUUAAAAAAAAAAAAUCAGAGAGACAUACCGAGUCAAACGCUCCUUUUUCUGCCUAUCUCGUCCCCAGUGUUAAAACAGGCAAAACAAAACAAGUGCACAUCAAGAUAGAGCCAAUUAAGGGGAAGGCAGCGCGGAGGGCGGGUGGGAGGCAGCCACCUCGCCGAGCACAUGGGGAGCGGGAGCGCAUCGCCCCACCUCGAGCCGUCCCUGAGCCUUCCGAGCUCUCCCAGGAGGACAACGGGGCCCAGCAUUCGGUCAGGCUGCUCUGAGUGGGGAUCGCAGGUGCCAUCAUGGAGGCCCACGGCCUCGCUGCAAACUGAUUUCCAGGCUGUGACCCACCCCCCCCCCGGGCCAGAGGCUCCCCCGGAGAGUGCGGUCAGAACGGCGGACGGCGCCGUCCAACCUCCCGCAGCCACGAGCACAGCGGAUCCGGCACGGGAGAGUUCGGGCAGCGCGGAGCGGUGCGCUUCGGCCAAGGGUGGCACCGGGAUCCCAGCGCAGUGCCGCACUCCGCGCGGCCGGGCUUUACGCACAGCGCAGUACGCGGGAGGUGUCUUUACGUUUAACGUUUUAAUUUGGACAUGCUAAUUAGGCUGUGGGUCUCCACGGUUCUAUCGGCGGAUAGCUGAUCGCUUCCCUCUGCGAGGAAGUGACUGCUAAAUACAUUUCCCGGCCCCGAUCUCCGUUCCCAGAAGCCCGUCUAGCAGAACCGUCCCGUCGGGCGAAACGGACCUUUAAUAAUGGAAGGCCGAGGGAGGUUCUGCGCAGCGGCGCACCGCCUCGGGCACGGCCCCAACGCGGCCCUCUGCAGCGGAGCCAUCGAAAUAACUCCGUGCCCAGCGAACUUGUUGCUCGCUUUCAGCUCCUCCGCUCACCCCGGCUCGGGUCGGUGCCAGGCGAGGGGCAGAGGCAGCCUGGGGGAGAAGCCGCCGCUGUCGGGGUGAGAAACUUCCCGGGCUCCAAAGCCGCCCGCUCUGGGCGUCGAGGGGCAGCGGCCGCUCCGCUGCUGGGAACUGCGCCCUGGCCAUGUGUUUUCCCCGUGUGGAACGUUGCUCGCAAGUGCGGGAGGUGGAAAGUUUUGUUCACGUCAUUAUCUCAAAGCUUUCCCCGCGCGGUCAGUGGACGCAGAGGCUUCACUCCGUUUUCCGAAUGAAAACCCACGGACGCUUGAUGUGAAAAGUGCAUGCUCCCGUGGGCCGUGCUUUCCCCGAUUACUUUCUUUUUUCUUUUUCUUUUUCUUUUUUUCUUUCACUUUCUUGGCUCCGUCCCGCCAGGAUCUCUCUACGUUUACGGGCUGUACGGUUUCCAGGGCUCCAAUGGGGCUUUCCCUGAUGGAGGCGAGGAACAGAACUUUCCCACUCGCUCGGAAACUGCCGAGGAUCCGGCGGGGGGAGCACACAAAGAGGCCCCAAAUCCCCCCCGGGGCUCAGGGACAUCCCCUGCAGGUGCAGGACCAAAGCUGCAGGGAUGGCCCAAAGCGGUGCAUGUGUCGCUCUCGUCCCCUAUUAUGAGCACUACGGGAGUGAAACGGGGGGUGGGGAGCGGGUUCUUGGGACAGCGGUUCUUGAGCCCACGCACGUUGGUGAAGGGAAACGCGGGGCCGUGCGCGCCGUCGGGCUGAGCCAGGGUUAAUGCCUGCGGGCCCAGACACGCUGUGCUCCGGGG